rnacentral:rRNA from 1 species
UACGUAGGGUGCAAGCGUUAAUCGGAAUUACUGGGCGUAAAGGGCGCGUAGGCGGCCUGCUAAGUCGAACGUGAAAUCCCCGGGCUCAACCCGGGAACUGCGUCCGAUACUGGUUGGCUUGAAUCCGGGAGAGGGAUGCGGAAUUCCAGGUGUAGCGGUGAAAUGCGUAGAUAUCUGGAGGAACACCGGUGGCGAAGGCGGCAUCCUGGACCGGCAUUGACGCUGAGGCGCGAAAGCCAGGGGAGCAAACGGG